rnacentral:tRNA from 1 species
AAAGUUAUAGCUCAGUGGUAGAGCACAAGUUUAGCCUGUAUGAGGCCCUGGGUUCAAUCCCCAGCACCUCUC